GGCUCAGGAUGAACGCUAGCGGCAGGCUUAACACAUGCAAGUCGAGGGGUAUCACGCUUUCGGGCGUGAGAGACCGGCGCACGGGUGCGUAACGCGUAUACAAUCUACCUUUUACAGAGGGAUAGCCCAGAGAAAUUUGGAUUAAUACCUCAUAGUAUUUUCGAAUGGCAUCAUUUGAUUAUUAAAGUUCCAACGGUAAAAGAUGAGUAUGCGUCCCAUUAGCUAGAUGGUAAGGUAACGGCUUACCAUGGCAACGAUGGGUAGGGGUCCUGAGAGGGAGAUCCCCCACACUGGUACUGAGACACGGACCAGACUCCUACGGGAGGCAGCAGUGAGGAAUAUUGGACAAUGGGCGCAAGCCUGAUCCAGCCAUGCCGCGUGCAGGAAGACGGUCCUAUGGAUUGUAAACUGCUUUUAUACAGGAAGAAACACCUCUACGUGUAGAGACUUGACGGUACUGUAUGAAUAAGCAUCGGCUAACUCCGUG
rnacentral:rRNA from 1 species